rnacentral:rRNA from 1 species
UCGGGAGGAAUACCAGUGGCGAAGGCGGCCUUCUGGACUGACACUGACGCUGAGGUGCGAAAGCGUGGGUAGCAAACAGGAUUAGAUACCCUGGUAGUCCACGCCGUAAACGAUGUCGACUAGCCGUUGGGCUCCUUGAGAGCUUUGUGGCGCAGUUAACGCGAUAAGUCGACCGCCUGGGGAGUACGGCCGCAAGGUUAAAACUCAAAUGAAUUGACGGGGGCCCGCACAAGCGGUGGAGCAUGUGGUUUAAUUCGAUGCAACGCGAAGAACCUUACCUACCCUUGACAUCGAGAGAACUUUCCAGAGAUGGAUUGGUGCCUUCGGGAACUCUCAGACAGGUGCUGCAUGGCUGUCGUCAGCUCGUGUUGUGAAAUGUUGGGUUAAGUCCCGUAACGAGCGCAACCCUUGUCCCUAUUUGCCAGCGAUUCGGUCGGGAACUCUAGGGAGACUGCCGGUGACAAACCGGAGGAAGGUGGGGACGACGUCAAGUCAUCAUGGCCCUUACGGGUAGGGCUACACACGUGCUACAAUGGCCGGUACAAUGGGUUGCGAAUCCGCGAGGUGGAGCUAAUCCCAUAAAGCCGGUCUCAGUCCGGAUCGGAGUCUGCAACUCGACUCCGUGAAGUCGGAAUCGCUAGUAAUCGUGAAUCAGAAUGUCACGGUGAAUACGUUCCCGGGCCUUGUACACACCGCCCGUCACACCAUGGGAGUGGACUGCACCAGAAGUGGUUAGCCUAACUUCGGAGGGCGAUCAC